rnacentral:pre_miRNA from 1 species
CUACCCUGUCUUUAAGCUGAGUCGCAAGAGGGCAGUGCUCAGCUUAAUAACUGGGCG